rnacentral:rRNA from 1 species
GACGUUGACGAGGGAGCGUUACUGGUCAUAAUUAGGCGUACGGAGCGGCUAAACAGCUUAAAUUUAUUUAAAGGAAACUGAAGGAGUAGACGCAAGUGUUUUAAAUAACUUUAAUGCUAGAGUUGGAAAGAGACUAGAGAUAAACAAUACUUAGAGAUAGAAUUCAAAUAAGUAUUGGGCAUCUUCAUAAGCCACGGCAUCUUUGAAUUUCCAACUGACGUUAAACCGUUAAAGUUCGAGAAUCGAAUAGGAUUGGAGACCCUAAUAGUUCGGACUGUGAAUCGAUGGGUAUUAAGACGGAUUAAAAUCCGAUUUUAAGUAAAUGCGCAAAUACCUCGCCGGGGGAGUAAGGUUGCAAAGGUAAAACUUAAAGAGAUUGGCGGGAGUUUGUAUAAACGGUGAAGUGUGUGGUUUAAUUCGACAAUCCACGGGCAAUCUUACCAGUCUGGCACUGUUCAAUGAAUCUACUCUAAAAGUGUUUCGCUAGGUUGAAUGGGAUAGGUACUGCAUGGCUGUCGUCAGUUUGUGUUGUGAAAAGCGAUAUUAAGUUAUCAAACAAACGCAACCCUCAUUACAUUCAAUCAAAUUUUUAUUGUUACAGACACGAAAAUGUUUUCGCGUAACGUGAAUCUUAUUUAAUGUAGACGCUACUAAGACCAGUAAAUUGAAGAAUGGAAUUUUAAGAUAAUUAUUUACGGUAUGUAAAUAGGUACAAUUUUCGGGUUGUGUUUCGGGACUGUGCGUUGUAAACUAACAUUCAAUGUUAACGUAUACCCCUUAACUAACAAAAUCACCGCGACGUGUUAAAUUAUUACCAAUAAGAUAACUGUCGCAGUUUGUGCACCCACCCUCAUCUACUUAAACUCCCGAAUCGGUAAUCACCCCGUCUUACCGAAAUUCGUUUCGGUAAAUAAAAACGGGAUUUGGAUGAGGGUGCAAGGGAUUACUACCGAAUAAUGUAAACUCUUUUGCACGAUUUUGUUGCCGUCUUUAAAGUGGUUAAGCUGUGGUUUGUGGACCGUACGAGGGGGUCUGGUGAUGGGGGAUGGGAAGAAGAAUUAAACAUGCGCUAGCUUGCAAAGCUAUAUACAGUGAUUCAAUGCGCCCACGUACCUCCACCACUACUAAGGACUCUUUUCGGAUUAGGUCACUUACGCACGUCUUUUCUUUAUCCACCAAUCAGUCAAAGGUAUUUAGAGGGGAAGAGGAGGCUGAAGUCAAGUCAUUAUGGUCUUUAUAGGCUGGGCUACACACGCGCUGCAACGCUGAAAACAACGCGAUGAGAGGAAGAAAUUCCAAACGAUUCGUUAAAAAUUGGCCCAGUUCGGAGUGUAAACUGAAAUUCGUUUACGCUAAGUCGGAAUCGUUAGUAAUCGUGAACUAUUACGUCACGGUGAAUACCAAAUCAAACUUUGCACACACCGCCCAUCACGCUCGAAGAGUUGUAUUUUUCUGAAACCUCACGAACCACCAUUUUCGCUUAGUCGAGUACCAGAAAAUUAAUGUAACAUUUCUGCGAAAAGCUUCGUGAAUGUUUUCUCUAGAGGAAAUAAGCUAUUUUCUGCGGGUCAGGGCGGGUAUGGCAAUUUGAGUGAAGUUG